UUCUGCCUACGGGGGGCAGCAGUGAGGAAUAUUGGUCAAUGGGCGGAAGCCUGAACCAGCCACGUCGCGUGAGGGAAUAAGGCCCUACGGGUCGUAAACCUCUUUUACCGGGGAGCAAAGGCGGGGACGUGUCCCGGCCCGGAGAGUACCCGGAGAAAAAGCAUCGGCUAACUCCGUGCCAGCAGCCGCGGUAAUACGGAGGAUGCGAGCGUUAUCCGGAUUUAUUGGGUUUAAAGGGUGCGUAGGCGGGCUUUUAAGUCAGCGGUAAAAAUUCGGGGCUCAACCCCGUCCGGUCGGUGAAACUG
rnacentral:rRNA from 1 species